GAUGAACGCUAGCGGCAGGCUUAAUACAUGCAAGUCGAGGGGCAGCAUAAGUAGCAAUACUUGAUGGCGACCGGCAAACGGGUGCGGAACACGUACGCAACCUUCCUUUAAGUGGGGAAUAGCCCGGGGAAACCCGGAUUAAUACCCCGUAAUAUUAUGAUGUGGCAUCACAGUUAUAAUUAUAGAUUCAUCGCUUAAAGAAUGGGCGUGCGCCUGAUUAGGUAGUUGGCGGAGUAAUAGCCCACCAAGCCUG
rnacentral:rRNA from 1 species